CCCGUGUCAUAGACACCCCCUCUCAGGUCCCAGCAACAUCAAGGCCUGAGAUGAUAGUUGCUGGGACCUGUUGGUCCAAAUGGGCCCCCUACACCCUGCCCGUGCCCCCCGGCCCCGGGGCCUAGGCUCUCGCUAUCCUAGCCUGGGCCUGGCUAGACGGAGAUAUCGUCUUCGACGCCUACAACUUAGAGCAGCACCCCAGAGAAUGUUUAAGCCUAGCAGGCCGAGGUACCGGACCCAGCGUAGGAAUCCUCCCAAUUUAUUGGCUUCAAACAGCACCAGCCUGUGGCUCCUUCCCCAUCGGUCCCUGGAUUUGGAGAUUGAGGUGCAGAGAAGAGAAGGGACUGGUACGAGGUCCUAUAGCAAGUCUGCAGGAGACACCCUACUGAUGUCCAUGAGGGGAUCAUGACUCCUGAGCAGGCCCAGGACAAGAGGGCUCCCCUGGCAGUUAGACAAAUGUAUCACCUGGGAAGAUUGCUCUUCUUCUGAGGAAAGACCCCACCCCACCCCCCGAUCUAUAUAUCCGGGCCAAGAGAAGCCUACCCUUGGAGCAGCUUUUGAAUAUAUCACUUCAGUCCUAUUGGUCUUAGUUAGCUUCCUUAUUUCCUUUGGCGGUGUUUCAGGGAACAUGGCAUGGAACAUGGCUGUCAGACCUGGAGAGGCCCUUGAGCCAGCCUGGCCAACUACUCAUCUUACAGAAGGGGAAACUGAGGGGCAGAGCAGCUCGCACAGGGAAGGCAGUGGCCAAGCCUGGCUUCGAUCCCAG
rnacentral:lncRNA from 1 species